rnacentral:rRNA from 1 species
GGCUCAGAACGAACGCUGGCGGCGCGUUUAAGCAUGCAAGUCGAGCGGCAAGGGCCUUCGGGCCCCUAGAGCGGCGGACGGGUGAGUAACACGUGGACAAGUCUGCCCCCCGGCCCGGGAUAGCCCAGGGAAACCUGGAUUAAUACCGGAUGAGACGGGACCCGCGAUGGCGGGAUCCGGGAAAGGCGCUGCGGCGCCGCCGGGGGAUGAGUCUGCGUCCCAUUAGCUAGACGGCGGGGUAACGGCCCACCGUGGCGACGAUGGGUAGCCGGCCUGAGAGGGUGGACGGCCACAUUGGAACUGAGACACGGUCCAGACUCCUACGGGAGGCAGCAGCUAAGAAUCUUCCGCAAUGGGCGAAAGCCUGACGGAGCCGACGCCGCGUGAACGAAGAAGGCCGUGAGGUUGUAAAGUUCUUUCGGGAGGGGAACAACCGUGGCAGGGAAUGGCCGCGGGAUGACGUGAAUCCCGGAAUAAGCCCCGGCUAACUACGUGCCAGCAGCCGC